AGCUCCAAUAGCGUAUAUUAAAGUUGUUGCGGUUAAAAGCUCGUAGUUGGAUUUCCGUCUAGGACGAGCGGUCCAUCCUAAGGAUGUGUAUCUGUCAGGCCUGGGCGUCCUCAUCAAGAACGUUGCUGGCCUUUAUUGGUUGGCACGGAAUUGAUGACUUUUACUUUGAGGAAAUUAGAGUGUUCACGGCAAGCAAUCGCUUUGAAUACAUUAGCAUGGAAUAAUAAUAUAGGACCUUGGAUCUAUUUUGUUGGUUUCUAGAACUAAGGUAAUGAUUAAUAGGGACAGUUUGGGGGCAUUCGUAUUAACGCGUCAGAGGUGGAAUUCUUGGAUUGCGUUACGACGAACUACUGCGAAAGCAUUUGCCAAGGAUGUUUUCA
rnacentral:rRNA from 1 species